AGAACGAACGCUGGCGGCAUGCCUAAUACAUGCAAGUCGAACGAACACUUCGGUGUUAGUGGCGCACGGGUGCGUAACGCGUGGGAAUCUGCCCUUGGGUUCGGAAUAACAGUUGGAAACGACUGCUAAUACCGGAUGAUAUCGAAAGAUCAAAGAUUUAUCGCCCAGGGAUGAGCCCGCGUAGGAUUAGCUAGUUGGUGAGGUAAAGGCUCACCAAGGCGACGAUCCUUAGCUGGUCUGAGAGAUGAUCAGCCACGCUGGACUGAGACACGGCCCAGACUCCGUACGGGAGCAGCAGUAGGGAAUAGUUGGACAAUGGGACGCAAGCCUGACUCCAGCGAACGCCGCGUGACGUGAGUGAAGGCCGUUAGGGUUGUAAAGGUCUUACGUUUUACCCGGAGUAUAGUAAUAAUAGAACUAGUA
rnacentral:rRNA from 1 species